rnacentral:lncRNA from 1 species
UAGCGUAAAUUGUCCGUCUUUUUCUAAUCAACAUUAACUUUUGGUCGAGGAGAUUCUAACAAAACUUAAAUAUUACCUCUUUGAUAGCUUUAGUGCAUGUCCUUGUCACCCAUCCUCCUCCUUUUAAUCACUAAUCACUAGACAAAAAAAAUCAACAAAAUCCACACAAAAUCCAUUUGUAAUUCCAUUAGUACCACACAAAUUUUCAUUUUUUUACAGGUCACAGUUCCACCACAUCGCACAAAUUCCCUCGUUUGCUAUUCGACGCACCACCACCACCACAGCCGACGUCGCCAUUCCACGCCGCGUCCAGAAGCGCACGCCAUCGUCGUCUCCUCUCCUCUCCGGCAUCCGCGCGUCCAAGAACACCUCCGCCGGCCAUGCCGCCCGAGCCGGANNN